rnacentral:rRNA from 1 species
GACGAACGCUGGCGGCGUGCCUAAUACAUGCAAGUAGGACGCAGUUGCGAACGGGUGAGUAACGCGUAGGUCACUGCCUAUUAGAGUGGGAUAACUAUUGGAUACGAUAGCUAAUACCGCAUACUAGUAGAUGGACCUGCGUUGUAUUAGCUAGUAGGUGGGGUAAGGGCCUACCGAGGCAACGAUACAUAGCCGACCUGAGAGGUUGAUCGGCCAAACUGGGACUGAGACACGGCCCAGACUCCUACGGGAGGCAGCAGUAGGGAAUCUUCGGAAAUGGGGGGAAACCUGACCGAGCAACGCCGCGUGAGUGAAGAAGGGUUUCGGAUCGUAAAGCUCUGUUGUUCAGGAAGCGGUACUUAACCAGAAAGGGACGGCUAACUACGUGCCAGCAGCCGCGGUAAUUC